UUGAUCCUGGCUCAGGAUGAACGCUGGCGGCAUGCCUAAUACAUGCAAGUCGAACGAGGGUCCUUCGGGACUCGAGUGGCGAACGGGUGAGUAACACGUAGGGAACCUGCCCGUGCGACCGGGAGAACUUUCGGAAACGGAAGCUGAUACCGGAUAGGGACAGAGACGGCAUCGACUCUGUGUUAAAGGAGCUGAAAGGCUCCGCGCACGGAUGGACCUGCGGUGCAUUAGCUAGUUGGUGAGGUAACGGCCCACCAAGGCGACGAUGCAUAGCCGGCCUGAGAGGGCGGACGGCCACACUGGGACUGAGACACGGCCCAGACUCCUACGGGAGGCAGCAGUAGGGAAUUUUCGUCAAUGGGCGCAAGCCUGAACGAGCAAUGCCGCGUGAACGAGGAAGGUCUUCGGAUCGUAAAGUUCUGUUGAAGGGGAAAAAGAGCGGAGAGAGGAAAUGAACUCCGAUUGAUAUUACCCUUCGAGGAAGUCACGGCUAACUACGUGCCAGCAGCCGCGGUAAUACGUAGGUGGCGAGCGUUAUCCGGAAUGAUUGGGCGUAAAGGGUGCGUAGGCGGCCUGCUAAGUCUGGAGUGAAAGGUACCGGCUCAACCGGUACAGGCUCUGGAAACUGGCGGGCUAGAGAGCAGGAGAGGGCGGUGGAACUCCAUGUGUAGCGGUAAAAUGCGUAGAUAUAUGGAAGAACACCAGUGGCGAAGGCGGCCGCCUGGCCUGUUACUGACGCUGAGGCACGAAAGCGUGGGGAGCAAAUAGGAUUAGAUACCCUAGUAGUCCACGCCGUAAACGAUGAGGACCAAGUGUUGGGGAAGACCCAGUGCUGCAGUUAACGCAGUGAGUCCUCCGCCUGGGGAGUAUGCACGCAAGUGUGAAACUCAAAGGAAUUGACGGGGGCCCGCACAAGCGGUGGAGUAUGUGGUUUAAUUCGAAGCAAUGCGAAGAACCUUACCAGGCCUUGACAUAGGGUGCGAAGCUAUGGAGACAUAGUGGAGGUAAACAUCCAUACAGGUGGUGCAUGGUUGUCGUCAGCUCGUGUCGUGAGAUGUUCAGUUAAGUCUGGCAACGAGCGCAACCCUCGUGAUGUGUUACCAAUAUCGAGUUAGGGACUCACAUCAGACUGCCGGUGAGAAACCGGAGGAAGGCGGGGAGGACGUCAAAUCAUCAUGCCCCUUAUGGCCUGGGCUACACACGUACUACAAUGGCGGCGACAGAGGGCAGCGAGCCUGCGAAGGCAAGCGAAUCCCCAAAAAGCCGUCCCAGUUCGGAUUGGAGUCUGCAACCCGACUCCAUGAAGUUGGAAUCGCUAGUAAUCGCGGAUCAGCAUGCCGCGGUGAAUACGUUCUCGGGCCUUGCACACACCGCCCGUC
rnacentral:rRNA from 1 species